rnacentral:rRNA from 1 species
GGCGGCCUUAGCGCGGUGGUCCCACCUGACCCCAUGCCGAACUCAGAAGUGAAACGCCGUAGCGCCGAUGGUAGUGUGGG